rnacentral:rRNA from 1 species
GAUGAACGCUGGCGGCGUGCCUAAUACAUGCAAGUCGAGCGAACGGACGAGAAGCUUGCUUCUCUGAUGUUAGCGGCGGACGGGUGAGUAACACGUGGAUAACCUACCUAUAAGACUGGGAUAACUUCGGGAAACCGUAGCUAAUACCGGAUAAUAUUUUGAACCGCAUGGUUCAAAAGUGAAAGACGGCCUUGCUGUCACUUAUAGAUGGAUCCGCGCUGCAUUAGCUAGUUGGUAAGGUAACGGCUUACCAAGGCAACGAUGCAUAGCCGACCUGAGAGGGUGAUCGGCCACACUGGAACUGAGACACGGUCCAGACUCCUGCGGGAGGCAGCAGUAGGGAAUCUUCCGCAAUGGGCGAAAGCCUGACGGAGCAACGCCGCGUGAGUGAUGAAGGUCUUCGGAUCGUAAAACUCUGUUAUUAGGGAAGAACAUAUGUGUAAGUAACUGUGCACAUCUUGACGGUACCUAAUCAGAAAGCCACGGCUAACUACGUG